rnacentral:lncRNA from 1 species
UGGCUGUGUCUGAUGUAGCUUCAUGGAUAAAUUGAAUUUUGCUGGAGCAAUCCUUCUUAUUUCACACAAAUACCACGUAGUGAAUGGCUGUAAAUCAUGGUGAGGUUACUGUAGCUGAAAGUGCUUUGUACCAAAACUGCAGAUUACUGUAGGUCAACCCAUCAGAAAAUUCCUCUUCAGAUUUAGAACACAACCACUAAUUUUGCCUCUCCAGCCUAUUUUAAAAAUAGGAAAACAACAGCCUCUUUUAAAAAUAGGAAAACAAACACUUUACUAAAAACAUCAUCUUUUUUUUUUUUUUUCUUUCUUUUCCUAUUUUAUUUUGCAGGCUGGCUAAGCCCUGACUCAGCAAGGCAUUUCUCCUUUCUGCAUAUCUUAUGCCUCAUGUACCACAUCCCACCUUUAUUUUGAUUCUCUAAUUCCUUCAAGUUUUUGGCUCCUGGGUGGGGUCCAGCUAAUGGAAACUUAGUCCCCAUGGAAAGCUGAGUGGGCAGAAUUAAAAAAAAAAAAAAAAAAAGUAGAAAAUAAGAAAAGCUUGAAUGAAAAUUAGCCAAAUGACAAUGGGAAACACCUGAAAUUCUUCUUCUGCAGAAGACAGAGCUGUGAAGUAGAGGGCAGUGUGAUAACAUCAGGCUCGCUGGCAGAUGAUGCUGCUGGGAGAAAAAAGAGGACAAGUUUUGGUGUACAUCCAGGUGAGGGCAUUGCAUCCUCCUGGGUCUGAAGGUGAAUGUGAACAUAAGGUCUUUGCAGUGCCUUUUUGCAGUGCUUGAAGUCAGUUCAGAGGCUUCGGUCAGGGAUAAAGUGGCCACCGAGACAUUUUGGAUGUAAAUGAGGUGGUGAUCUCUAACCUUCAGAGCUGUGAGGUCCAGACAAUGGAUUCUUGUAAGCAAGGUGAGGGCACCAGCCCAAAGGAACCAUAAAAAUGGAUCUUAACCUGUUUUAA